CCUACGGGAGGCAGCAGUGGGGAAUAUUGGGCAAUGGGCGCAAGCCUGACCCAGCAACGCCGCGUGAAGGAAGAAGGCUUUCGGGUUGUAAACUUCUUUUCUCAGGGACGAAGCAAGUGACGGUACCUGAGGAAUAAGCCACGGCUAACUACGUGCCAGCAGCCGCGGUAAUACGUAGGUGGCAAGCGUUAUCCGGAUUUACUGGGUGUAAAGGGCGAGUAGGCGGGAAAGCAAGUCAGAUGUGAAACCCAUGGGCUCAACCCGUGGCCUGCAUUUGAAACUGUUUUUCUUGAGUACUGGAGAGGCAGACGGAAUUCCUAGUGUAGCGGUGAAAUGCGUAGAUAUUAGGAGGAACACCAGUGGCGAAGGCGGUCUGCUGGACAGCAACUGACGCUGAGGCGCGAAAGCGUGGGGAGCAAACAGGAUUAGAUACCCUUGUAGUC
rnacentral:rRNA from 1 species